rnacentral:rRNA from 1 species
AGCUCCAAUAGCGUAUAUUAAAGUUGUUGCAGUUAAAAAGCUCGUAGUUGGAUUUCUGGUGGGAGUGAUCGGUCUGCCCCGUAUGGGGUGUGUACUAGUGUCGUCUCUUGCCAUCCUUGGAGAGAGCGCGCCUGGCAUUAGGUUGUCGGGCGUGGGAUCUCCAUCCUUUACUGUGAAAAAAUUAGAGUGUUUAAAGCAGGCUUAGGCCGUUGAAUACAUUAGCAUGGAAUAAUAAGAUAGGACUUUGGUGGUCUAUUUUGUUGGUUUGCACACCAAGGUAAUGAUUAAUAGGGACAGUUGGGGGUAUCCGUAUUUCGUAGUCAGAGGUGAAAUUCUUGGAUUUACGAAAGACGAACUACUGCGAAAGCAUUUACCAAGGAUGUUUUCAUUAAUCAAGAAC